UUUCCGUAGGUGAACCUGCGGAAGGAUCAUUAUUGUAUAACCGAGGUGCGAGGGCUGUCGCUGACCCGAAAGGUCGUGCACGCCCGAGUGCCCUCACACACAUGCAUCUCACCCCUAUGUGCACCACCGCGUGGGUCCCCCUUUGGCUUGUUCGGAGGGGGGCUUACGUUUACACACAAACUUUGUAUGCAGUGUAGAAUGUAUUUUUUGUUUUUGCGAUCACGCAAUCAAUACAACUUUCAACAACGGAUCUCUUGGCUCUC
rnacentral:misc_RNA from 1 species